CGCUUGUGGAACGAGCGGCGGACGGGUGAGUAACACGUGGGCAACCUGCCUGUAAGACUGGGAUAACCCCGGGAAACCGGGGCUAAUACCGGAUAAUACUUUUCAUCACCUGAUGAGAAGUUGAAAGGUGGCUUUUAGCUACCACUUACAGAUGGGCCCGCGGCGCAUUAGCUAGUUGGUGAGGUAACGGCUCACCAAGGCAACGAUGCGUAGCCGACCUGAGAGGGUGAUCGGCCACACUGGGACUGAGACACGGCCCAGACUCCUACGGGAGGCAGCAGUAGGGAAUCUUCCGCAAUGGACGAAAGUCUGACGGAGCAACGCCGCGUGAGUGAUGAAGGUUUUCGGAUCGUAAAGCUCUGUUGUUAGGGAAGAACAAGUGCCGUUCGAAUAGGGCGGCACCUUGACGGUACCUAACCAGAAAGCCCCGGCUAACUACGUGCCAGCAGCCGCGGUAAUACGUAGGGGGCAAGCGUUGUCCGGAAUUAUUGGGCGUAAAGCGCGCGCAGGCGGUCCUUUAAGUCUGAUGUGAAAGCCCACGGCUCAACCGGUGGAGGGUCAUUGGAAACUGGAGGACUUGAGUACAGAAGAGGAGAGUGGAAUUCCACGUGUAGCGGUGAAAUGCGUAGAGAUGUGGAGGAACACCAGUGGCGAAGGCGACUCUCUGGUCUGUAACUGACGCUGAGGCGCGAAAGCGUGGGGAAGCGAACAGGAUUAGAUACCCUGGUAGUCCACGCCGUAAACGAUGAGUGCUAGGUGUUAGGGGGUUUCCGCCCCUUAGUGCUGAAGUUAACGCAUUAAGCACUCCGCCUGGGGAGUACGGCCGCAAGGCUGAAACUCAAAAGAAUUGACGGGGGCCCGCACAAGCGGUGGAGCAUGUGGUUUAAUUCGACGCAACGCGAAGAACCUUACCAGGUCUUGACAUCCUCUGCAAUCGGUAGAGAUACCGAGUUCCCUUCGGGGACAGAGUGACAGGUGGUGCAUGGUUGUCGUCAGCUCGUGUCGUGAGAUGUUGGGUUAAGUCCCGCAACGAGCGCAACCCUUGAUCUUAGUUGCCAGCAUUUAGUUGGGCACUCUAAGGUGACUGCCGGUGACAAACCGGAGGAAGGUGGGGAUGACGUCAAAUCAUCAUGCCCCUUAUGACCUGGGCUACACACGUGCUACAAUGGAUGGAACAAAGGGAAGCAAAACCGCGAGGUCAAGCAAAUCCCAUAAAACCAUUCUCAGUUCGGAUUGCAGGCUGCAACUCGCCUGCAUGAAGCCGGAAUCGCUAGUAAUCGCGGAUCAGCAUGCCGCGGUGAAUACGUUCCCGGGCCUUGUACACACCGCCCGUCACACCACGAGAGUUGGUAACACCCGAAGUCGGUGAGGUAACCUUUUGGAG
rnacentral:rRNA from 1 species